GUCCUAGCUUCGGCUGGACAUAUACUAAAAAUUUUAACGAUACAGAGAAGAUUAGCAUGACCCCUGCGCAAGGAUGACACGCGAAAUCGAGAAGCGUUCCACAUUUUU